CCAACCAACGCCAGGGAACUACGAGCCCAGCUUAAAACCCAAAGGACUUGACGGUGUCCCACCCAACUAGAGGAGCCUGUUCUAUAAUCGAUAAUCCACGAUUUACCCAACCCCAUUUUGCCACUCAGCCUGUAUACCUCCGUCGUAAGCUUACCAUAUGAAUGCCUACAGUAAGUCUAAUGGUCUAACACCAAUACGUCAGGUCAAGGUGCAGCUUAUAAUAGGGAAAGCAAUGGGCUACAAUUUCUAAACUAGAACAUACGAAAUGCUAUCUGAAACACAGCCACGAAGGCGGAUUUAGUAGUAAAAAGG
rnacentral:rRNA from 1 species